AAUUAGGAUAGUUUAAAGAAAACACUGAUUUGUGGUAUCAGAGAUAAGCAAUGCUUCCCUAAUUA
rnacentral:tRNA from 1 species